GCGCGGGCUUCGGCCUGGCGGCGAGUGGCGAACGGGUGAGUAAUAUAUCGGAACGUACCCAGAAGUGGGGGAUAACGUAGCGAAAGUUACGCUAAUACCGCAUACGAUCUACGGAUGAAAGCAGGGGAUCUUCGGACCUUGUGCUUUUGGAGCGGCCGAUAUCUGAUUAGCUAGUUGGUGAGGUAAAGGCUCACCAAGGCGACGAUCAGUAGCUGGUCUGAGAGGACGACCAGCCACACUGGAACUGAGACACGGUCCAGACUCCUACGGGAGGCAGCAGUGGGGAAUUUUGGACAAUGGGGGCAACCCUGAUCCAGCAAUGCCGCGUGAGUGAAGAAGGCCUUCGGGUUGUAAAGCUCUUUUGUCAGGGAAGAAACGGGAGUGGCUAAUAUCCAUUCUUAAUGACGGUACCUGAAGAAUAAGCACCGGCUAACUACG
rnacentral:rRNA from 1 species